UGCAGUCGAACGAUGAACCACUUCGGUGGGGAUUAGUGGCGAACGGGUGAGUAACACGUGGGCAAUCUGCCCUGCACUCUGGGACAAGCCCUGGAAACGGGGUCUAAUACCGGAUACGACCACUUCAGGCAUCUGAUGGUGGUGGAAAGCUCCGGCGGUGCAGGAUGAGCCCGCGGCCUAUCAGCUUGUUGGUGAGGUAACGGCUCACCAAGGCGACGACGGGUAGCCGGCCUGAGAGGGCGACCGGCCACACUGGGACUGAGACACGGCCCAGACUCCUACGGGAGGCAGCAGUGGGGAAUAUUGCACAAUGGGCGAAAGCCUGAUGCAGCGACGCCGCGUGAGGGAUGACGGCCUUCGGGUUGUAAACCUCUUUCAGCAGGGAAGAAGCGAAAGUGACGGUACCUGCAGAAGAAGCGCCGGCUAACUACGUGCCAGCAGCCGCGGUAAUACGUAGGGCGCAAGCGUUGUCCGGAAUUAUUGGGCGUAAAGAGCUCGUAGGCGGCUUGUCACGUCGGUUGUGAAAGCCCGGGGCUUAACCCCGGGUCUGCAGUCGAUACGGGCAGGCUAGAGUUCGGUAGGGGAGAUCGGAAUUCCUGGUGUAGCGGUGAAAUGCGCAGAUAUCAGGAGGAACACCGGUGGCGAAGGCGGAUCUCUGGGCCGAUACUGACGCUGAGGAGCGAAAGCGUGGGGAGCGAACAGGAUUAGA
rnacentral:rRNA from 1 species